rnacentral:rRNA from 1 species
GCGGGAGACGGGUGAGUAACACCGUAGGCAACCUGCCUGUAAGACUGGGAUAACAUAGGAGAAACUUAUGCUAAUACCGGAAGAGUUUUGCUUCGCAGAAGCGAAACGGAAAGAUGGCGCAGCUAUCACUUGCAGAUGGGCCUGCGGCGCAUAGCUAGUUGGUGAGGUAAAGGCUCACCAAGGCGACGAUCGUAGCCACCUGAGAGGGUGACCGGCCACACUGGGACUGAGACACGGCCCAGACUCCUACGGGAGGCAGCAGUAGGGAAUUUUCCACAAUGGACGAAAGUCUGAUGGAGCAACGCCGCGUGAACGAUGAAGGCUUUCGGGUCGUAAAGUUCUGUUGUUAGGGAAGAAACAGUGCCAUUUAAAUAAGGUGGCACCUUGACGGUACCUAACGAGAAAGCCACGGCUAACUACGUGCCAGCAGCCGCGGUAAUACGUAGGUGGCAAGCGUUGUCCGGAAUUAUUGGGCGUAAAGCGCGCGCAGGUGGCUAUGUAAGUCUGAUGUUAAAGCCCGGGGCUCAACCUCGGUUCGCAUUGGAAACUGCGUAGCUUGAGUGCAGGAGAGGAAAGUGGUAUUCCACGUGUAGCGGUGAAAUGCGUAGAGAUGUGGAGGAACACCAGUGGCGAAGGCGACUUUCUGGCCUGUAACUGACACUGAGGCGCGAAAGCGUGGGGAGCAAACAGAUUAGAUACCCUGGUAGUCCACGCCGUAGACGAUGAGUGCUAAGGUGUUAGGGGGUUUCAAUACCCUUAGUGGCCGCAACUAAGCAAUAAGCACUCCGCCUGGGGAGUACGCUCGCAAGAUGACACUCAAAGGAUUGAGCGGGGCCCGCACAAGCCGUUGAGACAAGUG